CUUGGUGUUAAUUGCAGAAUCCCGUGAACCAUCGAGUUUUUGAUCGCAAGUUGCGCCCAAAGCCAUUAGGCUAAGGGCACGUCUGCCUGGGCGUCACGC
rnacentral:rRNA from 1 species